GAUGAAGAACGCAGUGAACUGCGAUAAGUAAUGUGAAUUGCAGAAUUCAGUGAAUCAUCGAGUCUUUGAACGCACAUUGCGCCCCCUGGCAUUCCGGGGGGCAUGCCUGUCCGAGCGUCAUUGCUGCCCAUCAAGCCCGGCUUGUGUGUUGGGUCGUCGUCCCCCCCGGGGGACGGGCCCGAAAGGCAGCGGCGGCACCGCGUCCGGUCCUCGAGCGUAUGGGGCUUUGUCACCCGCUCGAUUAGGGCCGGCCGGGCGCCAGCCGGCGUCUCCAACCUUCUAUUUUACCAGGUUGACCUCGGAUCAGGUAGGGAUACCCGCUGAACUUAAGCAUAUCAAUAAGCGGAGGA
rnacentral:misc_RNA from 1 species